ensembl:lncRNA
CCCACGGGCCGCGCUCCGGGGCUGCCUCGGCCACCUCGGUCUCGCGGAGGAGGAAACGGAAGCUCAGGCGGCCUCUGGGCCGCUCCGAGCUCCGGGACGGCCGUCGCGCGCUCCGGGUCUGCUGCUCCCCGGAGGCCGUGGAGGGCACAACAAAGCGCCCCCCCCCCCCCGGGCAGCCUGCUCCGGGGCCCGCUCUUGCAGUCGCCGGUCCGGUUCUGGCUUUGCUUUUUGCUUUGUUUGUUUUUGCUUUUCUGCGGUCCUUAAACUCUGAGAUUUCUCCCGGUUCCGGUUCGAGACCUCCUGGGUUAAGUAAGGUAAUCAGGGCUCGGUUCCAGAUCGGCACUCAGGCCUGAAGCUCUCAAGAGCGUAGUCCGUGAACGACUCUGCACACGGAGUUAAAAUCUCGCAUUAGAAUCUACAAUAGUACCUGCAGAAUUACGAGGAUUAUUACGGGCUUUCUUUGUUGUCUUGAGACGCAGCCCGGUAGUCCUCGGACAUAGACUCUCCUACCUCUUCUGCCAAAAUGGCUCAUGAGUUGAACACAGCUGUUCUGGUGGUCCUUGGCUGGUGGUGAUGUUCUAAGAGACUGUGGACCCUCUGAGACAUGGAGUCCGGCUGCAGAGGCCCCCUCACACCCUUGAGCAAGCAGUCUCCUUACACCCUCUGACGCUGAGCUCCACCUCAUUCUUCCUGGCUGGUGUAGAUGGUACCCUCUCAGCAGGCUUCUUGGAGGCUACCUGUUGCGUUUCAGCUUUUUCUCUGCCUUUUCUUUACCUGGAAGAGACAACAAACUCAUUCCAAGCCACCUGGACUGCAUCAAUAGUCUUGAACAAGGCUCCUGGAACACACUGUGCAGUCAGAGCAGAUUUGUGGUUCCUGAAAAGAAAAUGUCCAG